rnacentral:lncRNA from 1 species
GGCACAUACUGUAGCACAUCGAGUUGUGUCAACGUAAAUCUGUUAAUUGACUACAAUCAUAUUUUGUGAACAAAAAACAUAUCCUGUUUGAAUAGCUUGCUCCAACUAGUAUAAUAACAAACACAAAGUCGUCGUUUCAUCCCCCAAAAUAUCUUGUCAUCACGUUUAUGUAGAAUCCAUUUGUGUUUAUUUGAUUAAUGUUCACAUAGAGACAAAUUGUCACAAAAUGUCUUUUCAUAACAUGGAUCCUCAAAAUCAAAUGUCAAUAAUUUGUAUCCUGUCUUUGUUUAUAAUAUGCUUUUUAAAAUUUUUACUUAAUAGCAUUCUAGCAAGUCCUACAGGAAUAAAGAUCCACUGCCCAUUAUAAUAACAUGCGAAUGAUCUUCUUAAUCCCCAUGUUUUCUUUGCCAUUUUACGAGAAAUUGUUUCAUUUUCUGCACUGAGUCCAUAUACCAAAACGACAAGGAGAACGCAUAUGCAAAUCUUCAUGUUGC